rnacentral:rRNA from 1 species
GUGCCAGCCGCCGCGGUAAUACGGAGGGGGCAAGCGUUGUUCGGAAUUACUGGGCGUAAAGGGCGCGUAGGCGGAACGUCAAGUUAGGGGUGAAAGGCCUGGGCUCAACCUAGGAACUGCCUUUAAAACUGACGAUCUAGAGUCCGGAAGAGGAUGGCGGAAUUCCCAGUGUAGAGGUGAAAUUCGUAGAUAUUGGGAAGAACACCGGUGGCGAAGGCGGCCAUCUGGUCCGGUACUGACGCUGAGGCGCGAAAGCGUGGGGAGCAAACAGGAUUAGAUACCCUGGUAGUCCACGCCGUAAACGAUGUGUGCUAGCCGUUGGGGCACUUGGUGUCUCGGUGGCGCAGCUAACGCGUUAAGCACACCGCCUGGGGAGUACGGUCGCAAGAUUAAAACUCAAAUGAAUUGGCGGGG